GACGAACGCUGGCGGCGUGCUUAACACAUGCAAGUCGAACGGAAAGGCCCUGCUUUUGUGGGGUGCUCGAGUGGCGAACGGGUGAGUAACACGUGAGUAACCUGCCCUUGACUUUGGGAUAACUUCAGGAAACUGGGGCUAAUACCGGAUAGGAGCUCCUGCUGCAUGGUGGGGGUUGGAAAGUUUCGGCGGUUGGGGAUGGACUCGCGGCUUAUCAGCUUGUUGGUGGGGUAGUGGCUUACCAAGGCUUUGACGGGUAGCCGGCCUGAGAGGGUGACCGGCAACAUGGGGACGGGAGUCCGGGCGAUGCAGCGAGGGGGGGCGGGUGGGGGAAUUAUGGGAGAGUGGGAGGACGCCUGGGGCGGCGGGUGCGGGUGGGGUGCGACCGCCGGCGGGUGGUAAGCUGCUUGGGCGUGAAGAGAAGCGUGGGUGACGGUAAUGGGGAAAGAAGCACCGGCUACCGAGGGGCCAGGAGCCGCGGUAAUAACCGGAACCGACCACGUUUGAUC
rnacentral:rRNA from 1 species